rnacentral:rRNA from 1 species
AUGAACGCUGGCGGCGUGCUUAACACAUGCAAGUCGAGCGAAGCACUAAAGCGGAUUUCUUCGGAUUGAAGGUUUAGUGACUGAGCGGCGGACGGGUGAGUAACGUGUGGGUAACCUGCCUCAUACAGGGGGAUAACAGUUGGAAACGGCUGCUAAUACCGCAUAAGCGCACAGUACCGCAUGGUACGGUGUGAAAAACUCCGGUGGUAUGAGAUGGACCCGCGUCUGAUUAGGUAGUUGGUGGGGUAACGGCCUACCAAGCCGACGAUCAGUAGCCGACCUGAGAGGGUGACCGGCCACAUUGGGACUGAGACACGGCCCAAACUCCUACGGGAGGCAGCAGUGGGGAAUAUUGCACAAUGGGGGAAACCCUGAUGCAGCGACGCCGCGUGAGCGAAGAAGUAUUUCGGUAUGUAAAGCUCUAU